rnacentral:rRNA from 1 species
GCAAUUCUGAGCUAAUACAUGCAAACGAGCGCUGACUGCGGGGAUGCGUGCAUUUAUCAGACCCAAAACCACCGGGGGCUCCCGUGGGCUCCCCGGUCCUUUGUGACUCUAAUAACUCGGCCGAUGCGGCCCAUGUGUGGCGGCGACGACUCAUUCGAA